UACGAAGGGUGCAAACGUUGCUCGGAAUCAUUGGGCGUAAAGCGCACGUAGGCGGCUUUGCAAGUCGGAUGUGAAAUCCCGUGGCUCAACCAUGGACGUGCAUUCGAAACUGCGAAGCUUGAGUAUGGAAGAGGGUCGCGGAAUUCCCGGUGUAGAGGUGAAAUUCGUAGAUAUCGGGAGGAACACCAGUGGCGAAGGCGGCGACCUGGGCCAAUACUGACGCUCAGGUGCGAAAGCGUGGGGAGCAAACAGG
rnacentral:rRNA from 1 species